rnacentral:piRNA from 1 species
UGAAGAUCCUCCAUCAGCAAU